CAACAUCACAGUAAGAUUGAGUGUCUCAGCCCAGACAAUGGGCCCCUGCCUCCAGGAGUGUGCGACUGAAAUAAAUCCACUGACUUGAGCAGCCGCGCUCCAUCGCGACCGAGAGCCGAGGCUGGUUUCCCACACACAAACGUCCAUGGAGCAUGAGCCAGGGAAGAGCAUACAGGAGCAUUAUUGUCUAGUUCUGUUAAAAGAGAAAGGCCAAUUACACAAACACUGCUGACCUGUUAAACUUGAAUUUACCUGCCA
rnacentral:lncRNA from 1 species